rnacentral:rRNA from 1 species
UUGGAGGGCAAGUCUGGUGCCAGCAGCCGCGGUAAUUCCAGCUCCAAUAGCGUAUAUUAAAGUUGUUGCAGUUAAAAAGCUCGUAGUUGAAUUUCGGGAUUAGUACGUUGGUCGUGCCUUAGGUACGUACUGGUGUUACUGGUUCCUACCUUCUGACGAACCAUCAUGUCAUUAAUUUGGUGUGGUGGGGAAUCAGGACUGUUACUUUGAAAAAAUUAGAGUGUUUAAAGCAGGCUCGCGCUUGAAUACAUUAGCAUGGAAUAAUGAAAUAGGUACG